rnacentral:piRNA from 1 species
UGAUGCAUGUUAUGGUGAUGCUGUUCUAUU